rnacentral:rRNA from 1 species
UACGGGGGGGGCAAGCGUUGUUCGGAAUUACUGGGCGUAAAGGGCUCGUAGGCGGCCAACUAAGUCAAACGUGAAAUUCCUCGGCUUAACCGGGGAACUGCGUCUGAUACUGGAUGGCUUGAGUUUGGGAGAGGGAUGCGGAAUUCCAGGUGUAGCGGUGAAAUGCGUAGAUAUCUGGAGGAACACCGGUGGCGAAGGCGGCAUCCUGGACCAACACUGACGCUGAGGAGCGAAAGCCAGGGGAGCAAACGGG